AAGAAGGCCUUCGGGUUGUAAAGCAUUUUUGUCCGGAAAGAAAACUUCUUCCCUAAUAUGGAUGGAGGAUGACGGUACCGUUAAGAAUAAGCACCGGCUAAUUACGUGCCAGCAGCCGCGGUAAUACGUAGGGUGCGAGCGUUAAUCGGAAUUACUGGGCGUAAAGCGUGCGCAGGCGGUCUGUUAAGACCGAUGUGAAAUCCCCGGGCUUAACCUGGGAACUGCAUUGGUGACUGGCAGGCUUUGAGUGUGGCAGAGGGGGGUAGAAUUCCACGUGUAGCAGUGAAAUGCGUAGAGAUGUGGAGGAAUACCGAUGGCGAAGGCAGCCCCCUGGGCCAACACUGACGCUCAUGCACGAAAGCGUGGGGAGCAAACAGGAUUAGAUACCCUGGUAGUCCACGCCCUAAACGAUGUCAACUAGUUGUUGGGGAUUCUUUUCCUUAGUAACGUAGCUAACGCGUGAAGUUGACCGCCUGGGGAGUACGGUCGCAAGAUUAUAACUCAAAGGAAUUGACGGGGACCCGCACAAGCGGUGGAUGAUGUGUGAUUAAUUCUGAUGCAACGCGAAAAAACCUUAC
rnacentral:rRNA from 1 species